GAUGAACGCUGGCGGCGUGCCUAAUACAUGCAAGUCGAGCGAACAGACGAGGAGCUUGCUCCUCUGACGUUAGCGGCGGACGGGUGAGUAACACGUGGAUAACCUACCUAUAAGACUGGGAUAAUUUCGGGAAACCGGAGCUAAUACCGGAUAAUAUAUUGAACCGCAUGGUUCAAUAGUGAAAGACGGUUUUGCUGUCACUUAUAGACGGAUCCGCGCCGCAUUAGCUAGUUGGUAAGGUAACGGCUUACCAAGGCAACGAUGCGUAGCCGAUCUGAGAGGGUGAUCGGCCACACUGGAACUGAGACACGGUCCAGACUCCUACGGGAGGCAGCAGUAGGGAAUCUUCCGCAAUGGGCGAAAGCCUGACGCAGCAACGCCGCGUGAGUGAUGAAGGUCUUCGGAUCGUAAAACUCUGUUAUUAGGAAAGAACAAAUGUGUAAGUAACUAUGCACGUCUUGACGGUACCUAAUCAGAAAGCCCCGGCUAACUACGUG
rnacentral:rRNA from 1 species